rnacentral:rRNA from 1 species
AUUGAACGCUGGCGGCAGGCUUAACACAUGCAAGUCGAGCGGAGAUGAGGUGCUUGCACCUUAUCUUAGCGGCGGACGGGUGAGUAAUGCUUAGGAAUCUGCCUAUUAGUGGGGGACAACAUUCCGAAAGGAAUGCUAAUACCGCAUACGUCCUACGGGAGAAAGCAGGGGAUCUUCGGACCUUGCGCUGAUAGAUGAGCCUAAGUCGGAUUAGCUAGUUGGUGGGGUAAAGGCCUACCAAGGCGACGAUCUGUAGCGGGUCUGAGAGGAUGAUCCGCCACACUGGGACUGAGACCCGGCCCAGACUCCUACGGGAGGCAGCAGUGGGGAAUAUUGGACAAUGGGGGAAACCCUGAUCCAGCCAUGCCGCGUGUGUGAAGAAGGCCUUAUGGUUGUAAAGCACUUUAAGCGAGGAGGAGGCUACUGAGACUAAUACUCUUGGAUAGUGGACGUUACUCGCAGAAUAAGCACCGGCUAACUCUGUGCCAGCCGCCGCAGUAA